UGCUGCACCAGGCGGGGACGUACCGGCACAUGCAGCUGAAGCCGCCACUUCUGGUAGCACUAAUGAUGCUGAGUUGCAGAGGAAUGCCCAUGCUGCCGCUGCUGCUACUGUAGCUGCUGCCGCUAAUCUUAUAUUGUCAGUCAAUACUGAAACUGCAAGGGAGGGGCGUGAUGCAGCAAUGGCGCGCGGGGAGUAUCAGGUGCCGAGGCUGGCCUCGUUGGGGAUCAGUGGCAUGGCCGACAGCAGGCGGGAUAUGGGUUUGACUAGGGCUGACGUUCUUGCGCUGGAGUCACGAACGCUAGCGGUCGGUUGUGAUGGGCCACACAUGUACAUGGUACCGACGAUAGCCGCGCUCCAGCGCACCUGGACUACUGGAGAUUCCAAUGACCGUCAAAACUGAGGGCCAGCUGCCUUCGCUUUCUUACGAAUCCUGUUUACUGUUGGCUGCCCAGAAUCGAUGUGCGGGAAUUUCUCGAUUGGUUGCCGGUUAAGCUCUUGUCACUUUGUGGGUGCUCUCAGCAGAGCCAGGUCCAUAGGGCCUGAUGGAAGGGAAAUUACCAUGAUGAACGAGAACGUCGAAAUAGUUCUAGCCAUCUCCUCAGAUGGCGGGCGAACGUAGAUUGAGGUGCUGUGCUGAGGGUGCCGUGCACAAAUGGCAUGGGAUGUUGAGAAGUACUCGAGAACAAAGAAUAUUCAUCAUGUCUUUGAAGAGUAUUUAACCCAUCCUUCGGCCCACAAAUGCGUCUGCUGAGCAACGCGUACCGCGGUCCGUA
rnacentral:lncRNA from 1 species